rnacentral:rRNA from 1 species
AUUGAACGCUGGCGGAAUGCUUUACACAUGCAAGUCGAACGGCAGCACGGGGGCAACCCUGGUGGCGAGUGGCGAACGGGUGAGUAAUACAUCGGAACGUGCCCAGUCGUGGGGGAUAACGUAGCGAAAGUUACGCUAAUACCGCAUACGAUCUACGGAUGAAAGCGGGGGACCGUAAGACCUCGCGCGAUUGGAGCGGCCGAUGUCAGAUUAGGUAGUUGGUGAGGUAAAGGCUCACCAAGCCGACGAUCUGUAGCUGGUCCGAGAGGACGACCAGCCACACUGGGACUGAGAAACGGCCCAGACGCCUACGGGAGGCAGCAGUGGGGAAUUUUGGACAAUGGGCGCAAGCCUGAUCCAGCCAUUCCGCGUGCAGGACGAAGGCCUUCGGGUUGUAAACUGCUUUUGUACGGAACGAAAAGGCUCUGGUUAAUACCUGGGGCCCAUGACGGUACCGUAAGAAUAAGCACCGGCUAACUACGUGCCAGCAGCCGCCGCGG